rnacentral:tRNA from 1 species
AACAGGAUGGUGUAAUUGGUUCAGGCGUCACACCGGAUAGGCGAAGGUUGCGGGUUCAAUUCCCGCUCCUGUCC